rnacentral:rRNA from 1 species
CUUCGGGGUACUCGAGCGGCGAACGGGUGAGUAACACGUGAGCAACCUGCCCUAGGCUUUGGGAUAACCCCGGGAAACCGGGGCUAAUACCGAAUAUGACCUCUGACCGCAUGGUUGGUGGUGGAAAGUUUUUCGGCCUGGGAUGGGCUCGCGGCCUAUCAGCUUGUUGGUGGGGUGAUGGCCUACCAAGGCGACGACGGGUAGCCGGCCUGAGAGGGCGACCGGCCACACUGGGACUGAGACACGGCCCAGACUCCUACGGGAGGCAGCAGUGGGGAAUAUUGCACAAUGGGCGGAAGCCUGAUGCAGCGACGCCGCGUGAGGGAUGACGGCCUUCGGGUUGUAAACCUCUUUCAGCAGGGACGAAGCGAAAGUGACGGUACCUGCAGAAGAAGCGCCGGCCAACUACGUGCCAGCAGCCGCGGUAAGACGUAGGGCGCGAGCGUUGUCCGGAUUUAUUGGGCGUAAAGAGCUCGUAGGCGGCUUGUCGCGUCGACUGUGAAAACCCGCAGCUCAACUGCGGGCCUGCAGUCGAUACGGGCAGGCUAGAGUUCGGUAGGGGAGACUGGAAUUCCUGGUGUAGCGGUGAAAUGCGCAGAUAUCAGGAGGAACACCGGUGGCGAAGGCGGGUCUCUGGGCCGAUACUGACGCUGAGGAGCGAAAGCGUGGGGAGCGAACAGGAUUAGAUACCCUGGUAGUCCACGCUGUAAACGUUGGGCGCUAGGUGU